rnacentral:rRNA from 1 species
GUGGGGAAUUUUGGACAAUGGGCGCAAGCCUGAUCCAGCAAUGCCGCGUGCAGGAAGAAGGCCUUCGGGUUGUAAACUGCUUUUGUACGGAACGAAACGGUCCGGGUUAAUACCCUGGGCUAAUGACGGUACCGUAAGAAUAAGCACCGGCUAACUACGUGCCAGCAGCCGCAGUAAUACGUAGGGUGCAAGCGUUAAUCGGAAUUACUGGGCGUAAAGCGUGCGCAGGCGGUUUUGUAAGACAGGCGUGAAAUCCCCGGGCUCAACCUGGGAAUUGCGCUUGUGACUGCAAGGCUGGAGUGCGGCAGAGGGGGAUGGAAUUCCGCGUGUAGCAGUGAAAUGCGUAGAUAUGCGGAGGAACACCGAUGGCGAAGGCAAUCCCCUGGGCCUGCACUGACGCUCAUGCACGAAAGCGUGGGGAGCAAACAGGAUUAGAUACCCGUGUAGUCC